rnacentral:lncRNA from 1 species
UACAUUUGUGACUUUUUUUCAUGAGUUGUUAUUUAAAAUGAACCCCAAGUAUAGGACUGAUGUGCUGUCUACUGUUCCUAAACAUGAGAAGUCUGUGAUGUUUCUUGAGGAGGAGAAAAUACUUGUGCUAGGUAAGUUUUUUUAAAAUGUACAUAUCAAUAUGCCACAAUAAAACCCACAUUCUGUAUAAUUAAUUGUACUAAUAAAAUAUUAAUAAAAAGGUGGCUGUGUUGGCUCAACAUAAGCUACACGGUAUCUUUGGGGAGUAGAACUUAUGCUUAUGAAGAUGUGCUCAGCAUUGUCAUUUCCUCCUCAUUAACUCCUCAGAGUUUGGGAAUUGGCCACUAGCCAUAUUUUUCUUCAGCUCCCAUUCAUGCAUUGUUAUUCCCUGCUGCUCAGUCUAUAAUAUUUUUUAUGAUGCUCUUUAUAGGCCAACGUAUAGCAGUUCCUAACAAGCAGUUUUUACCAUCUGUUUUCUCUAACAAUUCUUGGAACAUUCAACUGCCCUGAACAUUCAUAAAAUUUGUAUUUAACAACCCAUGUGACAAUUUUUCCAGGAAUUUUUGAUGUCCCCCUAGUACCAUUUGCUGUACCUGCUUUGUCAGCCAUUCCAGCUCCUAACAUUUCUCCAGAAUGCAAAAGAGAGGCAGAUCCUCAAUUAGAGUAGAAAAGUUUUUAAGAUGUCACUAAAUUGGGAAAGUCCACAAUAGUAUUCCUUUUUUGGAUAAAAACACAAAUCAUAACUCAGCUUCCUUUUAUUAAGAGGCAAUGGAAUGGCGCAUGCCUGUAAUCCCAACAACUUGGAGGCUAAGGCAAAAGGAUUAAAGCCAGCCUUAGCAACUUAGCGAGGACCUCAGAAACUAAGUGAAACCUUGUCUCGAAACAACAUAUAAAAUGGGCUGGGAAUAUGGCUCAGUGAUUAAGAGCUCUACAAUAUCUAUUACAAAUACCUAGUACAAA